UGGAGGUGCAGCACGCUUAUAUGGAC
rnacentral:piRNA from 1 species